GCGAGCAGAGGGGGAGAAUUCAUCGGAGUUGUUGGGUCUAAGGAACCUCUCAAAGAUGGCCAUGAGAAGGAACAUGGAGAUGAGGAUGGCAGUGGCCACAAAGCCAAAGGAGACAGCGUUGACUGAACUCUCAAAGUUGGUCAAAUGGGAGUCAUCUCUGCUCUGCACAUUCACAUUCAUUGGAGACCCUAUUGGUGCCCACCCACCAUUGUUGUUGUUGCUGUUGUUCUCUUCAACCACCAUUUCUUCCAAAACUACUCUGAUGCUGUAGUAUUCUUCUGUUAUGCUAUGCUUUCAGCAUGUUGGUUUUUAAUUAAUUCUGGUAAAGGUAAUAGCUUGUCUUGGUUUUACUGGAGAAUUAGUUAAG
rnacentral:lncRNA from 1 species